CUUGAACUCCUGACCUCAGGUGAUCUGCCCACUUCGGCCUCCCAAAGUGCUGGGAUUACAGGCGUGAGCCAUCACACCUGGCCUAUUUUUUCAUUUGAUUCUCGCAGUAGCCCUGUGAGAUCAGCUAGGCAGAGGUUAUUAUGCUCAAUUUUAUAUGCAACAAAACUAAGAAUAUUGGCUCUGAUUGUGCCAUGUACUAUAUAACACUAAGGAAUAUUGCCUGAGAUGUCCAAAAAUGACACCAUUGGAUGUUAAUUUAUCUUUGGAAAGAAUAUAUUUGGCAGUAUCUAGUAAAUCUGAGCAUACACAUACCUUAUGAUCCAUAAGUUCCAUUCUUAAGUUUAUUUCAAACAGGAGUGAAUAUAUUUGUUCACCAAAGACAUGUAAUAGAAUGUUCAUAACAGCACUGUUUGUAGUAGUUCCAAACUGGAAAUUACUCAUAUGUCCAUCAACGGUAGAAUGGAUAAAUAAAUUGUGGUGUGAUCACGCAAUCAACUUCUGUAUAGCACCAAUAAACUAUUGCUAAACAAUGAUGAAACUCCUAAACAUAAUAUUAAAUGAAAAAGAAGCCAGACACAAAUGAAUACAUAUUGUGAUUGCAUUUAUAUAAAGUUUUAUAUAAACAGGCAAAACUAAUCCUUGGUGAUAGAAGUCAGGAUGGUAGUUACCCUUGGGUUGGGGGAGUGGCGUUACUGGAAAGGAGCAUAAGGAAGGGUUCUGGGGUUCUGGUAAUGAUCUGUUUAUUGACCUGCGUGCUAGUGAUAUGGAUGUGAUUACGUCAUGAAAAUUCAUCAAGCUUACGAUUUGUGUACUUUCCCAUAAUGUAUAGUAUACUUCAGUAAAAAGUUAAUUUGCCUUAGGCAAAACGGAAACCCAUUAUCUUAGGCAAGGUUUUUCAGUGGCUUCCCAUGGUACUCAGAAUAAAAUCCAAAGUCCUUACCAUGGCCUGCAUGGCAAUAUAUACAUGAUCUAGCCCCUGGCUACCUCCUCCACAUGUAGCCGGUGCCCCUAUAAAUGUUAGGGUUGAAUGAAUGAUUGAAGAUCCCUGGGUGAAUGGUCCACUAGGCUAUAGCUGGGAUUCCUCCCACAAAGGGAGACACCUGAGAAGUUGUAAGUCAUCCUGUUAAAAGGAAAGCUUUGUUAGUAUAACCUCUCUUGUCCACCCCACCUCAGUUUGGUGAGGAGAAAGCUCAGAGCUUUCCCCAGUGCUUCCAUGAACUUUGGCCAGUAAAGACUUAAAAUAUCAUAUCAUAAGAUGAGAGAAACCAGUUGGAACUUAACUUCUAUCCCGUAUCCUUCGAUUAUUCAAAGAAAAACAAAAUACGGUCAACAGGCAGUGGAACUCCUCACUCCAAUGUGAUAUUCCUGAGAGAAUAUUGACUUAUUGUCACUUCGUCUCUGGGACAAGUAUUGAACAUAGGGGGAGCCUUACAUAAAAUUGUUCAAUAAACAAAAGAUGUCUUUAACAUGUGUUUGAGAUCUUUCUUCUCAUGAUUCCAUGUUAGGUACAACAACUAUGACCGGGCUGUCAUCAAUACCGUUCCUUAUGAUGUCGUCCAUCGCUGGUAUACAGCACACCGGACUCUAACGAUAGAGUUGAGGAGACCUGAGAAUGAGUUUUGGGUUAAACUAAAGCCUGGCAGGGUCCUAUUUAUAGACAACUGGCGUGUCCUACAUGGCAGGGAAUGCUUCACUGGCUACCGCCAACUCUGUGGCUGCUAUUUAACAAGGGAUGACGUAUUAAACACUGCUCGCCUCUUGGGGCUUGAGGCUUAAAAUUGACAGCAUCGGGAUUAUGAAUACACCUGGCACCCCGGCUACCAGAAUUUCAUAUGGGCAGAAUAAUAUUUAAUAUUGUGUCAAACUCUACUUCAGAUUGUCUCCUUAUCCCAUCCCACAAAACAGAAGCUGUCCCUUUCUCUAGUAGGGGAGACUUGUUAGAGAGGGGGGACUCUGAGCUAUCUAAUGUCAGACUUCUAGUGGGGCAGCUCUCUUCCUCAUGUUAUAACAUGGAUCCACUUGUUUUAUUUAAACCUUUUAAUAUAAUUUUGGUCAAUCUCCUUCAGAAAUAUAAUCUCCAUAUUGAUAGGAAAGCAAUAAUUGCCAUGAGGUAGUGAUUUUUUUUUUCCCAAGUAGAUCGGUUAGAAAGAACUGCAUUCUAGAAAUAACAAAGAUCCUGAUAAAGCAACAAUUUGCAAAAUUUUUGGUGUUAGGACACCUUAACACUCUUAAAAGUUAUUGAAGGCCCCAAGGAGUUCUUGGGUGUGGGUUCUAACUAUUGAUACUAAUUGUUUUAGGUAUUAAGACUGGGAAAUAUUUAAAACUCAAGAACGCAGAAGCACACAUCCCUCAGCUAUCAGAGAGAUGACAUAACCAUAUGUCAUGUAGCCUCUGGAAAAGUCCUCUGUCUCCUCACGAGAUAAUGAGAGGGGGAGAAAAAGCUACUAUUGCCUUUGUAACUUCCACUUAGCCUACUACAGGGCUAUGCACAUCUGGCUUUCCAAAAGUCUGCUUAAUUUCAAAAGAAAAAUGCUUAAUUGAAUGUAACUCAUCUUGGUGUUAUUAUGCAAAAUAAUUUUUAAUCUGCAGACCCACUAAAAAGGCCUCAGGGACUCCUCCAGGGGUCUUCAGACCAUAUUUUGAGAACCCAUGGGCUAGCGACUACCUUGAGACAGUCCUUUACAUAGGCCUGAGGAUUAAAGGGUUUAGCUGAAACCCUAGAUUUUUCUCUAUAGCCUAAUAGAACUCCAAACAUUAUAAGAAUUGCUUGGUAGCAUAAGCUCAGGGAUAAGGUGGGAAUUGAGUUCAAAUAUAGUGUUUUAUCUUCGAUACAAAUCAUCUCUAUAGGAGUUAAAUUAGGAAGUCACAACAGCUCCUGUUGAACAAACUUAUCAGUGUGGUAAUCCUAUGAGGGAUAAUUGCAGAAAGGUUUUAGAGACUUGUGAGGUUCCAUAUGAUAAUUCUUUACACACACACACACACACACACACCACCACCACCACCACCACCACCAAGAGAAGUACACAGGGCUAUCCUGUAAUAUUAUUCAGGGAAAUCAGCAUGAUAGAUGCUGUGCCUCCAGAGAGUUCUCUGGAGAUUACUACCCAAAUGUGUAUUUUGGCAAUUUGGUGGUAUUUAGGAUGUAAUAUGUUUUCCUCCAUUUCUGCUAUUUUUUUUCUUUCUCUCUCUGUCUCUCUCAUAAAAUACUAUACAUGUUAAUUACCAAGAUUUGAAUGAGUCAAAUUUAGUAGCUUGCUGCUUUUAUUUUUUAAAUAGCUUCUUUUAUGUAUGGGGGGAGGGCAGGUUAUGAAGCUUCUUUUCCCUCAGCUUUCAUUGAAAGUGAAGCUGUACAAUAACCACAUUGACCACUGUAGAAUGAUGAAAGAGAAUAUAGGCUAGGAUGCACACAAGAGGGGGGAAAAGGCAUUAUUAGUGAAGACAGGAGUUACAAAGCAAAGCAAAGUCAGUAUUCAGAUAGAGAAUAGAGCCUAAUCUGAUGUUUGCAGGGAGUUCCUAGAUCACAUUUGGCAAUUUACACAUUAUUUUAUUGACACAUCCAGUGCUCCAAAAUGUGUUCCCAAAAUAUUUCGGCAUUUUAUUUGUACUAUAUAGGAAUCUUUAGGGGAGUCCAUGAAAUUUGUUUUCCUCAUAGGUCAAAGGACUGAUAAUUAACUUUGGUUCUUAAGGAGUAUGCCCUUUAGCAAGAAGAACAGCAAUAACAUUUUACCCUGAAGUUUUUUCUCUAUACCUACUAUUAUGCACUCCUAAAAUAUGUCAUCAUUAGUCUUCAUGAGGAUGUUUACCAUUUUUGAAGUUUUGCAUAAAUUAGCCUUGAAGAUUACACUAUAACUGAGGUCAGCAUUGGUUUACGGCCAGCAAAGGACAUGAUCAUGGCCCUGGAGAGAUGAGGACACAAAACAAAUCAAUUUCCCCACUUACUGAAGGACUCCCCUUACCUUCUGUCUCUCCUGACACCUUGACUCGUUAAUUAUUUUACCCUCCUUUUUGGAAAUUUGCAACCAAUCCUUCUCAACAAUGUACUCCCUUUGGUACAUUGAAGAAAAAGAGAAGGGAAUUAUUUGAGUCCUGAUCCCGAUGCAUUGAAAACUUCCUAUGUGAGAUGUUUCUUUUUUUCACAUCUCUUCCAGGUGUCCCUGAGUAUAUAAGCAUGGGUCUAUGUCUACCAAGCUCACUGUAGAGUCACUUUUACCUUUUGCUAUGGUGGAAUGGGAUCUGUAGGGUCAGGAACACAGCACCUAACACAGUGCCUUAUGGACAGUAGUUUUAUAAUACAGAUGUGUUGAAAGAAUAAAUGAAUGACACAUGCA